AUUGUGUGUCUUUUGUGUUUUUGUUUCUGCAUUUGUUUUAUUUUAUUGCUCUGCGGUCCUGGUUUUCUAACAUUUUUGGGGGUUGAAAAUGAGCACGAAUUUGAAUAUUACUGAAUAAAUUAACCUUUUUAAUUGUUGUUGAAUCGAUGGGAAGGAAAGAGACAACUUGGUGAACUAAAACAUCUUAGUAGUACUGGUGAGUAAAAUGGGAGCAACCUAAACUAGGAAAAUGGGAUUGUGGGAGAGCACAAUAUAAUGUUUAUGCAGCUAGGAAAAGUUGUUGAGUCCUUCACACUAGAUGGUGAUAAUUUAGUAGCCAAAAUAAUCAUUGGCUUAUGCUCUAACAAAAUUAGCAUGGAGCACGUGGAAUCCCAUUUUAAUUAGCAAGGACCACCUUGCAAGGAUAAAUAAUCAUGUGUGACUGAUAGUGAAGUAAUACCAUGAGUGAACAGUGAAAAGAACCCCCAUCGAGGAGUGAAAUAGAACAUAAAACUAUAGGCUCCCAAAAAAUGGGAGGAAAUAUAGAUAUUUGACCUCAUCCCUGUUGAAGAAUGAUCUGACGACUUAUAGUCAGUGGCUUGGUUAAGGGAACCCAACGAAUCCGUAAUGAGAGAGAGUGUUUGUCAGGAAAUUAUCAUUGAUUAUGGAUCUGAACAUGGUGAUAUAUCCAUGACCAUGAUGAAUCUUGGGUGAAAGUAUGUGGAUAUCCAAUUUGAAUUAUGUUGAAAAUCAUCGGAUGAGUUGUGGUUCAGGGUGAAAUGCCACUCAAAACCAUAGCAAGUUGGUUCUUCAUGAACUGGAUUGAGGAACAACCGUUGACUAGGCCAUCUAUGGGUAAAUAAUUAUUUUAUUAUGAGCCUCGAGAGAAGUACCAAAUCGAGGAAAACUAUGAAUACUAUAUUCCCCCAAUAAAAGGGGUAAGGGUUAGCUAGUGAGAUAGUGGGGAAUGAGCUUGAUCGUCCAGAGGGGAACCACCCAGAUCACCAUAUAAGGCCCCUAAAUGACUACUUAGUGAUGAAUAAAGUACAAUUGUAAAGACAACCAAGAGGUUUGUGUAGAAUAAACCAACCUUGAAAGAGUGCAUAAUAGCUCACUGAUCGAGCACUCUUUCACUGAAGAUUAAUGAGAAUAACAAAUUUGUCGAAGCUGUGGGAUGUAAAAAUACAUCAGUAGGGGAGCAUUCCACCUCAAAUGGAAGAACCUCCAUGAUCAGGUGUGGACAAAGUGGAAGAAAGAAUGUCGACUUGGGUUAACACAAACAUUAGUGAGAAUAAAAUGUCUUGAAAACCUAAGGGUUCCUCUCCAAGGUUCUUCCACGUAGGGUGAGUUAGGGCAUAAUAUCUAGACAAAAUUCAUAGUCAAUGGAAAAUAGGUGAAUAUUAUUGUACUAUUCUUGUACUACCCCUUGUUGGUCCUUAGGGCUAGGGGAGGCUAGGUUAGCCAAAAUAUGGUUAUCGUUUCAAGGAUGCAAGGUGACCCUGAUUUUUUCAGGGUAAGAAGGGGUAGAUAAAAUUCCUUGAGAAAAUGUAUGAGUACCAAGUGCUAUAACACUGAGGUAACCCAUGCCAUACUCCUAGGAAAAUACUGAACGAAAUUUAAAAAAUGGGUACAUGUACCCGAAAUUGACAUAGGUAGGUAAGUAGAGAAUACAUAGUGGCAUGAGACAACUCUCUCUAAGGAACUCGAAAAAAUCACCCCAUAGCUUUGGGAUAAGAGUUUAGGAGGUUGAAGUGACCACACCCAAGUGAUAGUUUACUAAAAACACAAGUCUCCAAAAAUUCAUAAGACCAUGUAUGAGGGCUGACACCUUCCCAGUUCUAUAAGGUUAAGGAAGUUGGUGACCUGAUGAUGGGGAAACCAACGACUGAAGCCUCUAUGAAUUGUUGUCACAACUAUAAAUUUCUUCAGGCAGAAAAAUUCCUUUUAAAAUAAGUUUAAACCUACACGAAAGGUUUAACGAUAUGGGAAAUGUUUUGGAGAGAUACUUGGUAAAAUAGACAUUUAUGUGACUAUGUGGACUACCCGAACCUAGACAGAAAUACCCUAUGAAUCUUUACUAUUCCAUGGGAUUUUAUUUAGUUUAUUCUUCGUAGCUUAGGUGGAAGGUUAAGAAGGCCCCCUUCCGGGGGGACCUUAGCCACCAGUGAGAUAUCACUCUAGAAUAUAUAGAGUUAUAAUCUUGUGACAGGACCUAGAAGCCAAGGGAUAAUAUUAGGUAGAAUGUUUCUAUGGGAUGUAGGCCGCCCAAAAGGUAACAAAAACUUGCAAAGUUUUUCUCAGGCUUACCAAAAAUUAGCCCAGAAGUUGAAAGGCAGAAGGGAGAUUGACUACAUGACCCACUCAUUGAGCAAGGAUGAAAUUUGACCUUAGUGAUUCAAUGGUGUUGAGUGGAAGGGUCAUCGCUUAAUGGAUAAAAGUUACUCUAGGGAUAACGUGAUAUUCUUCCCCAAGAAUUCACAUUGACAAGAAUUUUUGACACCUUAAUGUCAUCUCUUUGUCACCUAGUGCAAUAGUAUGUUCCAAGGGUUGGGUUUCUCUCCCAUUAAAUAGGUAGGUGAGUUGGGUUCAUAACAUCCUAAGAGAGUUCAAUACAUAUCCAAUGCAAGCAUUAGAGAAUUGACAAGACCUUUCUCUAGUAUUAGAGGACUAGGAGGGAUGCACCUCUAGUGUACCAGUUAUCAUUCCCAUAGUAAGGCAUGUGUAGAGCAGAUAACUAGUGAAGGAAUAUAGGUAGGAAGUCCACCCCAAUAUGAGUGCUCUCAUAUUCUUACUUUCCUAGGAGUCGUAAUCGUGAACAUGGAUGGGACAAUGAUGGGUUCUAUGUCCUUUACAUUUACUGCUAUGAUAGGUUUCAAGUGGAAUUGUAGUGAUGUAUGCAGUUGAGGCAUCCUAACAGACCGAGAGAUUUGAAC
rnacentral:rRNA from 1 species